GCGUUGAGUAGGAGAUACACACAGCAUUAUCAGAAGCUUAGCAUCCCCUCCUGUGCCAGAAAGAAGGUCAAAAGGAUGGUCAGACUACAAUACCCAUUGGUUGUAGGUGAUCCUGGGAUGUGGUCAAAGUGCAGAAUUGGACGCACCCUGCAGUGAACCCUGAUAUUCCCCCUCAGCUCCUACAGAGAGAAAGACUUCAUGACAGCAGUCACAUCAUGAAUACUGAUCUGAGACUCAACAACAGGCCGAUGACGAAGAACGCCAUUUGAGUGCCUCCUACUGGUUAUUUGUUCACGCCGGGAUCUCUCACGGAGGUGAUGUCGAUGUCAGGUAAGGUAAUGUGGGGCAGAUUAACUCGUUGGAAUA